rnacentral:lncRNA from 1 species
CAAAGACCUGCGCUCUAAUUACCAGCAUAAUUAGAAUAAGAACAUGUUGCUCACUCCAGAGGGGCCCGCCCCGCGCCUCUGCUGCUCUGGGAGAAAGCGUGUUUAAGAAUUCCCAUGGAGUUGCAUGGGAGGAAAAGCGACCCCACGCUGAGCUGCCAACGUGGUUGUCAGCGCGCCCCGUGUGAUUUCGUGCCGCUGUUUUCAAUGCGCUAACGAGGCACGUUAUUCUUAGCCGCGUCCGGGAGGGGAUCACAUUCCUGCGCAGUUGCGCUGCUGGCGGAAGUGACUUGUUUUCUAACGACCCUCGUGACAGCCAGAGAAUGUCCGUUUCUCGGAGCGCAGCACAGCCUGUCCCAUCGAGAAGCCUCGGCUUCCCAGAGACCGUGACAAAAGACAUCAUUCUACGCUGCACAAAAGCAGCCAGAGGCGGCCUCUCCCACGCUCCGGGAGCGAAGGGAAUGAUCUGGCUAGAGAGCAGCACUCCAGGGUGACUCCGUCCUGCUGUCUAACCGGCCUCCGGCAGAGUGGCAGAUCAUCUGACUCUCUGAACCACUCUGAACAUCAGUCUCUUCAUCUCUAAAUGAGGGUGCUGGCCGUGUGGAUCCGCAGGGGUAUCCUGAGGUUUGCCAC